UUCGGGAUUGAUUAUUUGUGACUGAGUGGCGGACGGGUGAGUAACGCGUGGGUAACCUGCCUUGUACAGGGGGAUAACAGUUGGAAACAGCUGCUAAUACCGCAUAAGCUCACAGAGCCGCAUGGCUCAGUGGGAAAAACUCCGGUGGUGUGAGAUGGAUCCGCGUCUGAUUAGGUAGUUGGUGAGGUAACGGCCCACCAAGCCGACGAUCAGUAGCCGACCUGAGAGGGUGAUCGGCCACAUUGGGACUGAGACACGGCCCAAACUCC
rnacentral:rRNA from 1 species